rnacentral:lncRNA from 1 species
GAAUUUGGAAGGGGCCCACCAGUUGCACAUUCCAGCGAAGCUGCCCAAGCCCUACAUCACCAUCAACAACUUAAACCCCAGGGAGAAUAAGGAUGUCUUAGCCUUCACCUGUGAACCUAAGAGUGAGAACUACACCUACAUUUGGUGGCUAAAUGGUCAGAGCCUCCCGGUCAGUCCCAGGGUAAAGCGACCCAUUGAAAACAGGAUCCUCAUUCUACCCAGUGUCACGAGAAAUGAAACAGGACCCUAUCAAUGUGAAAUACAGGACCGAUAUGGUGGCAUCCGCAGUUACCCAGUCACCCUGAAUGUCCUCUAUGGUCCAGACCUCCCCAGAAUUUACCCUUCAUUCACCUAUUACCAUUCAGGAGAAAACCUCUACUUGUCCUGCUUCGCGGACUCUAACCCACCAGCAGAAUAUUCUUGGACAAUUAAUGGGAAGUUUCAGCUAUCAGGACAAAAGCUCUUUAUCCCCCAGAUUACUACAAAGCAUAGCGGGCUCUAUGCUUGCUCUGUUCGUAACUCAGCCACUGGCAUGGAAAGCUCCAAAUCCAUGACAGUCAAAGUCUCUGCUCCUUCAGGAACAGGACAUCUUCCUGGCCUUAAUCCAUUAUAGCAGCCGUGAUGUCAUUUCUGUAUUUCAGGAAGACUGGCAGACAGUUGCUUUCAUUCUUCCUCAAAGUAUUUACCAUCAGCUACAGUCCAAAAUUGCUUUUUGUUCAAGGAGAUUUAUGAAAAGACUCUGACAAGGACUCUUGAAUACAAGUUCCUGAUAACUUCAAGAUCAUACCACUGGACUAAGAACUUUCAAAAUUUUAAUGAACAGGCUGAUACUUCAUGAAAUUCAAGACAAAGAAAAAAACCCAAUUUUAUUGGACUAAAUAGUCAAAACAAUGUUUUCAUAAUUUUCUAUUUGAAAAUGUGCUGAUUCUUUGAAUGUUUUAUUCUCCAGAUUUAUGCACUUUUUUUCUUCAGCAAUUGGUAAAGUAUACUUUUGUAAACAAAAAUUGAAACAUUUGCUUUUGCUCCCUAAGUGCCCCAGAAUUGGGAAACUAUUCAGGAGUAUUCAUAUGUUUAUGGUAAUAAAGUUAUCUGCACAAGUUCAGUAAGGAUCUGCUCUCUUUAUAACAGGACACAUUUGAAAACAUUGGUUAUAUUACCAAGGCUUUGACUGGGAUGUUAUAUUUGAGAAUAUACAUAGAAUAAACCCAUAGGGAAUGCAGGCAAAGUCUGAAGUUGGCCUUGG